AACGUAGGUACCGAGCGUUAUCCGGAUUUACUGGGCGUAAAGCGCGUUCAGGCGGUUUGGCAAGUCGGGCAUGAAAUCUCUCGGCUCAACCGGGAGAGGUUGUCCGAUACUUCCAGACUUGAGGGCAGUAGAGGGUGGUGGAAUUCCGGGUGUAGCGGUGAAAUGCGUAGAUAUCUGGAGGAACACCGGUGGCGAAGGCGACAUCCUGGACCGGUAUUGACGCUGAGGCGCGAAAGCCAGGGGAGCAAAGC
rnacentral:rRNA from 1 species